CAAAAAGCCGCGGCGGCGAAGGGCAAAAGAGCCGCUGUGAUGAGGGUCAAAAAGCCGCGGCGACGCGGGGCAAAAUAGUGGAGAUGGGGUAGAAGGCCGGCACAGCUUGGCUUUGCUGGAGUGUGAUGUGAUAGGAAAUGUGCAGCCAAAGACAAAAAAAGAUGUGUUGUCGUCUAUAUGAUCUCAGUAUUUUAAAAAUCAGCUUCCGGCCCAUAUGGUGGUUCAUGCUUGUAAUACCAGCAGUUGAAGAGGCUGAAAUGAGAGGAUUCCUUGAGCCCAGGAGUUCAAAAGCAACCUGGGCAACAUAGCAAGACCCAGUCUCUAUCAAAAGUUAAAAAAAUAAAAAGUGGGCAUGGUGGUGUGCACCUGUUGUCCUAGCUAUUUGGGAGGCCAAGGUGGAAGGAUUGCUUGAGCUUGGGAGGUUGAGGCUGCAGUGAGCAGUGAUUGCACCACUGCACUCCAGCCUGGGCAAAAAACCAAGACCCUAUCUCAAAAAAUAUAUAUAAUAAAAAUAAAAAUCAGCUCUCAUUGAUUUCUAUGUAAAUAUGCA
rnacentral:lncRNA from 1 species